AUUGAACGCUGGCGGCAGGCUUAACACAUGCAAGACGAGCGGAGUGAUGGUGCUUGCACUAUCACUUAGCGGCGGACGGGUGAGUAAUGCUUAGGAAUCUGCCUAUUAGUGGGGGACAACAUCUCGAAAGGGAUGCUAAUACCGCAUACGUCCUACGGGAGAAAGCAGGGGAUCACUUGUGACCUUGCGCUAAUAGAUGAGCCUAAGUCGGAUUAGCUAGUUGGGGGGGUAAAGGCCUACCAAGGCGACGAUCUGUAGCGGGUCUGAGAGGAUGAUCCGCGACACUGGGACUGGAACACGGCGCAGACUCCGACGGGAGGCAGCAGUGGGGAAUAUGGGACAAUGGGGGGAACCCUGAUCCAGCCAUGCCGCGUGUGUGAAGAAGGCCUUAUGGUUGUAAAGCACUUUAAGCGAGGAGGAGGCUCUUUUGGUUAAUACCCAAGAUGAGUGGACGUUACUCGCAGAAUAAGCACCGGCUAACUCUGUGCCAGCCGCCGCGGUAA
rnacentral:rRNA from 1 species